CUUAUAUGGCUUUAAUUAUUGCAGGUAACAACAUGCAUUUGUGGCCAGUGGAACGGGAGAGAAGGGAUCAGAUGAAGUAGUGGUGCAUACUGAGAUGGGGCGCAGGCGAGGAAUUGAGCUCCUGACAUCGACGGUGCUGUGAUGCAGCCAUGCAGGCAUGCCCAAGAGCAAGGCUCGGGAUAGAGUUUUUUUGGGUUUGUUCAGUUCUCGGUUAAUUCUGAAUCCCGUAUGGAUCUGAUGACACUAGUGUCCAUAUUUGAUUGUAGACCUAUAGCUCUUGAUAAUUUGCUUGCCAGUUAAAAUUCAAAUGACAACCCUGAACUCGCAGAUAA